UCCAUUGUUGUCUAGUCUGGUUAGGAUACCUGGCUUUUACCUAGGUGACCUAGGUUCAAAUCCUAGCAACGGAA